rnacentral:tRNA from 2 species
GAGUUAAUAACUUAAUUGGUAAAGUACUUUCUUGUCGAGAAAGGAGAUAUCGGAUCGUGGCCGGUUUAACUCG